ACUCCCUUGUUCCCAUAGCUGAUCUUCCCCCCUCCACUCAGACCAAGAACCUUAUCCUCACCUUAGUGAACAAACCUCCUCACACUCAAUGCCACCUCCCCUAACCAUGUUGAUGACUGCUGGCUGUGUUACCAUUCCCAACCACCUUUUUGUGAAGGCAUUGCUGUUCCUGGCUGUUUUACCCCUACAAAUGAUCCCCACCAUUGCCGCUGGCAACCUGGGGAGUGGAAUGGUUUAUCCCUCUCUUAGUCUCAGGAUUGGGCCUCUGUGUGACUUCUAAUACAGCCCCUUCACAACAUGCUCACCUUUGUAAUAUUACCCUUGCACCUGAUAUUUAUUAGUAGCCGGUAUUUAGUUCCCCCAAAUGAUACCUGGUGGGUUUGCCUUGAUGACCUCACCCACUGCCUCUCAGCCAGUGCCUUUUCUGCAAAAAAUUCUGAUUUUUGCAUUCUUGUACAAUUGGUCCCUCGAUUGAUUUCUUAUCAUUCAGAAGAUUUUUUUUCAUUUGUGAGAUCAGUCCACUGAUUUCUCCCCUUCACUGGUCCACCAGUGAAGAGAGUCCCUAACUGCCAUCACCAUUUCAGUCCUCCUAGGUCUUGGUGCCGUGGGCGCGGGGACUGGCAUCUCUUCAUAUGUUCUCUCCAAGUCUAGGGAUCAAGAACUCAGUGUCACCAUUGAUAAAGACGUCCACAUCUCCAACAAGGCAUUGACGACCUCUCUGAUUCCCUCUCCUCCUUAGCUGAAGUCCUCCUCCAAAACUGCAGAGGACUUGAUUUACUCUUUCUACUGCAGGGAGGGCUGUGUGCAGCUCUUAGGGAAGAAUCCUGCUUUUAUGUAGACAAGACAGGGGUGGUCAAAGAAAGCAUGAGAAAAAUCAGAAAAGGACUAGGGAAGAGAGGAAGAGAGAGAGAGAGAGAGAGAGAGAGAGAAGAGAGCUGGUAUAAAAAUUGUUUUUCAACCUCUUCAUGGUUGUCAACCCUACUUCCUUCCACUUUGGGACCAUUAGUUGGGUUUGUUUUUGUUUUUUGUUUUUUGUUUUUUGUUUUUUGUCUUUUCCUUAUUUCUUUUGGUCUCUGACCUUUAACAGACUUACCAACUUUGUGAAACAACAGAUAGAUAAUUUGGCAGCAAAACCUAUCCAGAUACCUAUCUAUCCAGGGUGCUCCCCAAACCCAUCUUCACCCAACCUAAAAAAAGGGGACGCCUGCCCCUGGAACAAGUAGAGAGGGGCCACCCAGAACCCCCUCUGACUGGUAAACUAAGUUCUUGCUUGGGCUGCGAGGCAAAGCACUGCAAGGGAAUAUAAAACAAAAACUAAAAGUAUCUUUCUGUGUUCCCUGAGGGAUAAGCCUGACUGCAUAGGAGUUGAUGUCCAAACUAUCCCCUCACCAGGAAAAAAACAUCAGGACAGGUAUGGCCCCCAUGCCUCAGUGGACAAUAUCAGGUGGACCGGAGCCAUUACAAGGCCCCCUUUAGUCACUGGAGGUCAGGCCUCUAUUCCAGCCUGGCAAAGAUUAAAAUCGCAACAGUCCUUCUAUACAAAGAAAAAGGGGGAGAUGUUGGAGAUGUUGACCUUGCUUGAAUGUUACCUCCUUGUCAGCCAUAAGUGCUUACUGGCACAAAGUCUUGGCCUCUGUGGGAAAGUACUAGCCCAGUUGAGAACAAAGAGCUAUAGAUCUUGUGGUCAGGUGCCUAGCAGCCCAUUCUGUUCUGCUCUUUCUGCUGAACUUUUUACCCAGCCAGUAUCCUGUUCCUGAAAACAGGUGCAGUCCUCAGAGACAAAGCGACUCUACUCCAUUCCCUGCACCUCAUAUCCUGCUUCUAUGAGUAUAUAAACUGUGUAGGAAAAAAUAAAAAUUUGUCAGCUUGAUC
rnacentral:lncRNA from 1 species